UCUAGCAGAAUGAUUUGCAUGGAACACUUUUUUUUUUUUUACUUCAAGGGAAGAAAUAUAAACAAAUAUUUGACUUUCACAUCAAUUUGGAUUGAGGGUUUUUCCUAGAGCUUCAGCACUCAGAGUCUCAGUAAACUUGUCUACAGUCAAGCUUUGUUAAAGAUUAACUUUGUACUGCUACCGCAAUUCAUCAUGAACAUCUGUGAACACAUCUGGAAUAAUGGCAUGCACAAGAUAAACAUUUAAAAGGGAUACUCCUCAAACACAUCACUGUGUAAUACAGUCACCUUCUACAUACUAUUCACCCUACAACUUUACAGAACAGGAUGGUCCAAGAUGGAGCAGUGUGGGGAAAGUAAAGAGUGUCAUAUGGUUUUUACAAGACUGCACAGGACUCUGUAAGAGAUUUAUGGAUGAUAAGCCACCAGAAGAUGAGGAACCCCAUGUUACCCCAAACCUACAAAGGUUCAUCACUGCUAACUUAUGAAACAGGGCAUGGUUAUCUGCAUUUCCAACUUAUUCUGUCUACAUUUGUUUGCCAUCUAUUCUCUGACACAAGUCAAAGCUCCGUGCUACA